UACGAAGGUGGCUAGCGUUGUUCGGAAUUACUGGGCGUAUAGCGCACGUAGGCGGAUUAGUAAGUCAGGGGUGAAAUCCCGGGGCUCAACCUCGGAACUGCCUUUGAUACUGCUGAUCUCGAGUCCGGAAGAGGUGAGUGGAAUUCCUAGUGUAGAGGUGAAAUUCGUAGAUAUUAGGAAGAACACCAGUGGCGAAGGCGGCUCACUGGUCCGGUACUGACGAUGAGGUGCGAAAGCGUGGGGAGCAAACAGG
rnacentral:rRNA from 1 species